ACUCAGCUCGUACCUCUGAGCCUGAGGUCAGAGGCAGGCAGAGCAGAGGGUGGCCAUGGAUCUCCCCCCAUCCCUGAGGCUGCCUGCAACCCUUCUGGGAAGCAUUUCAACCUCUUACCAGCAAGCACUGCCCUCGUUGCCGUGGUUACAGUAGAACCACCCACCCACCCACCAAGGCCUCCCAGGACAGGAUCCCCAGCUGCUCAGUGUGAAGUCUAGCUCUGGAAAAAGAAGGAGGAGAGAGAGACUGAUUAUGUAAGAGCAUCCGCUGCCACUCAGCCACCAGCCAGGAAAGGAAGACCCACCGUGCCCACGGAGACACCCAGCCCUGCCUUCACACACAAGAAGGGACUCCGAGGCACCCCGGUGGCUGCCUGGAGCCAAGGAGUGAGUCUCCCAAGCCAGCCUGGCAGCCUUGAGCUGGGACUAAAAAGGAGCAGCAGCAGAGCCCACAAGCUAGGACGGCUGCCUGGAGGAGGUGAAGUGCCAGGUCAAAUCCAAGUAAUACGUGCUUCAGGGGAGGCUGUGGAGUGAAAGGUGUCCCACCCAGUGUCACUGCCAUUUAGUUCCUUCCUGUCACCCAUCUGUGUCCCCUGCCAGCUGGACUUUCAGGCAUGCAUUUACACAGUGACGGAGCUGGGACCCAGGACUUCAAGCAAGCCAGACAAACACUCUACCAACAAGUCCCCUCCCCAGCCCCAGUGAGAUCUUUUCAUUGUUAUUUUGUGCAUGCCAGCACAUCCUUCACCCCCCAGACACCCCACCUUUGCUACUCUGUAGGGGAUCCCACUUCCCCGGCAGUACUACAGCAACCCACCUGGUUCCUGUCCGGCAUUUUCCACCCCCGCCCCCUGAAUAUCACACCCCAAUACAAUCUUGAAGUGUAGAUUUUGCAUCUCUUCCCUUUCAUUUGACGCCAUGAAUUUGGGGUGCUGUCAUGUUGACCCGUGUGUGGACAGUUUCCUCUUGUUUCCCUUGCUCGGUAAUAGUCCCGUAUGCCCACAGGUCACUGUGUGUCUACCCACCCAUAAAGAAGCAUCUGGGUCGAUCUGGCCUUUGAUGAGGAUGAAGAAGGCUACAAGCCUCAGCGGACAGGCCUUGGUGUGGAGAAGGCUUCCUUCUCUUCUGAGUCCCACUGUCCUUCAGACCGUUGAGGUUCUGCAUGCCAGCCACAGAGCCUGGGCUGUCCACCACCAUCACUUAUGCCUGAGCUCCCUGUGCUUCCUCACAAAGUCACACACAACCAAGAGGUUCUUCACCACGUCCAAAUAGAAGAAACCCUGUUGUGCCUUCUCUGUGUGUUCGCGCAGACGCAGGUGCACGCCCGUAGGCACACACAGAGGACACAGGAGGAUGCUGGGUGUCCAACUCUGUCACUCUCCACCUUAUUUCUCUGAGGCAGGGUUUCUGGCUGGAACCUGCACCUAGGCUGGCUGCCAGAACACCACAGCUAUCCUCUUGUCUAUAUCUGACACAGCCAUGGGAUUUGUGUAGCUGAGCCUGUUUUUUGUUUUUUUUUUUGUUGUUGUUGUUAGUUUGGUUUGCUUUGGUUUUUAUUUUUUGUUUUUGCUUGGGUGCUACAAAUUCAAACGCAGGCCCUCAUGUGUGCACUGCGAAAGCUCUUCCCUGCUGAGCCAGGCCCCCAGCCCCUGUUGCAGCUUCUUCAUUCAGGAGGGACUCUAGCCUUGAACCCCGCCCGUCAUGCAUCCCAGUCUGCCUGUUCCCAAUGGGGAAGUCAGGUGGGGAAAAAGAGGCACAGCCAACCUCAUGGGUCAACCACACGUCACACGGUGGCUCCCGUAUGAGUGCCAUUGAAAUGAGAAAGCAGAAAGGACCCCCAAGGAAGCUGCCAAGAGGAAGGUGUCUGAUGACAAGCUUUGAUCUGGAGUCAGGCUCCUGGCUGUGGUAGUUUGAAUGAGAUGUCCCAGAUAUUAGGGUACCUGGUCCCACUUGGUCGUGUU